AAAUGUAUCUCAAUACUAAUCGUAAUCAACACAAGCCUCUGCGGAGGAGAGAGCGAUUGGUUAAUCUUGUAGAUUAAACGUAUUUUGUAAAUCGGGUAGAUUAAAUACACUUCAAUUAUUUUUGGACAUCCAAAGUUUAAUUAAGAUAUUGUAAAAAUGUGUCAUUUUCAUAUAAUUUAUAUUGUAGUGGAAAGUAUUGGC